AAUCAACGCUGGCGGCGUGCCUCAGACAUGCAAGUCGAACGCGAAAGUUCCCUUCGGGGAGCAAGUAGAGUGGCGCACGGGUGAGUAACACGUACGGUAAUUUGCCUUCGGGUGGGGAAUAACAGUCGGAAACGACUGCUAAUACCGCAUAAUGCAGCGGCUCGACAUCGAGACAGUUGUUAAAGCGGGGAUCCUUCGGGACCUCGCGCCUGAAGAGAAGCCUGCGGCAGAUUAGCUAGUUGGUGAGGUAAUGGCCCACCAAGGCUACGAUCUGUAACCGGCCUGAGAGGGCGGUCGGGUCACACUGACACUGACAUACGGGUCGAGACUCCUACGGAGGCAGCAGUCGGGAAUUUUGGG
rnacentral:rRNA from 1 species